UACGUAGGGGGCAAGCGUUGUUCGGAAUUACUGGGCGUAAAGGGCGCGUAGGCGGCACGGCAAGUCAGGAGUGAAAGCCCGGGGCUCAACCCCGGAAUGUCUUUUGAAACUGCCGAGCUAGAGUGCGGAAGAGGCAACUGGAAUUCCCAGUGUAGCGGUGAAAUGCGUAGAUAUUGGGAAGAACACCUGAGGCGAAGGCGGGUUGCUGGGCCGACACGUGACGCUGAGGCGCGAAAGCCAGGGGAGCGGAACGGG
rnacentral:rRNA from 1 species